rnacentral:rRNA from 1 species
GUAGGGAAUAUUGGGCAAUGGAUGCAAGUCUGACCCAGCCAUGCCGCGUGCAGGAAGAAGGUCCUCUGGAUUGUAAACUGCUUUUUUGGGGGAAGAAUAGUUUUCUUGCGAGGAAAUGUGACGGUACCCUAAGAAUAAGCCACGGCUAACUACGUGCCAGCAGCCGCGGUAAUACGUAGGUGGCAAGCGUUGUCCGGAUUUAUUGGGUUUAAAGGGUGCGUAGGUGGUUUGAUAAGUCAGUGGUGAAAGCCGGUAGCUCAACAAUCGAGUUGCCAUUGAUACUGUCGGACUUGAGAGAAGUGGAGGUUCAUGGAAUGGAUGGUGUAGCGGUGAAAUGCAUAGAUAUCAUCCAGAACGUCGAUUGCGAAGGCAGUGGGCUGUACUUUAUCUGACACUGAGGCACGAAAGUGUGGGGAUCAAACAGGAUUAGAAACCCGUGUAGUC